UAACGAGCGCAACCCUACCUUUAGCUGCCAUCAGGUAAUGCUGGGGACUCUAAAGGAACUGCUACGCAAGUAGUGAGGAAGGCGGGGAUGACGUCAAAUCAGCACGGCCCUUACGUCCAGGGCUACACACGUGCUACAAUGGCCGAUACAGAGGGCAGCUACCUGGUGACAGGAUGCAAAUCUCCAAAGUCGGUCUCAGUUCGGAUCGGAGUCUGCAACCCGACUCCGUGAAGUUGGAUUCGCUAGUAAUCGCGCAUCAGCCAUGGCGCGGUGAAUACGUUCCCGGGCCUU
rnacentral:rRNA from 1 species